GUUAGUUUGUAUAAACAAAUGCCAUGUACUUUUUCAGAGGCAGGCAAUUCUAUUCACUCACUGAUUUUCUUUCUUAAGUGCGGAGCACGCUGCUCCAGUCCGGAACUCACUCUUUCCUGCAGGAAGACGUCUUUAACCACAAAACAUGGUAAAAAAUGAUAUUUUGAUUAUUUAUCGCUAUAAAAAAAAUAAAAAAUAAAAAGUAGAUUAGGCUGAUGUUUUUAUAAAACAGUGAAACAAAA